rnacentral:lncRNA from 1 species
CGGAAUAUGGUCGGAGAGGCCAUGGAUCUUGCAGAUCCAAGACAGAUCUAAAGGAGUCCAUGGAAGUCAGGACCACAAGCUUCGAAUAACUUAGGUUAUGGGUGAGGGAGAGUGAGCAUAGGCCACCCAUGGCCAGGGUUGCCAUGGAUUCCUGUGGGAAUCGAAGGGAUUAAGGUUAGUUUGGGUGGCGGCUAGUGUUUGAGUGAGGUUGCAGAGAGAAUUGGAGAGGAAGCGGAUUCAAG